UGCUGUUGUGGUCUUGUGGCAUAGAUUACAUCUCUAGUUAUCUCCACAGGAAGUGGGAUGGUAGAGCCGAUGCUCCUUAUGGCCGUAGGCGAUGUCCGUGUUGUAAGGAGUAACCCUGCUAUUACCAACAUUGCAACUAGCCAAGAUUUUUUCAUUUUUGUCUCCUGGUUGGGUGACUAUUCGUAAAGAAUCGACUCUUAUUUUACCAGGGGAAGUAGGGGUGUCAAAAAGCGG
rnacentral:rRNA from 1 species